UACAGAGGAGCCAAGCGUUGUCCGGAUUGACUGGGCGUAAAGCGCACGCAGGCGGACGCGCGCGUGGGGUGUGAAAUCUGGCCGCUUAACGGCCAGGCGCCAUCCCAUACGGCGCGUCUGGAGCAAUGCAGAGGUCGGUGGAAUUGCCGGUGUAGUGGUGAAAUGCGUAGAUAUCUGGAAGAACACCAGUGGCGAAGGCGGUCAACUGGCCCGAAACUGACGCUGAGGCACGAAAGCGUGGGUAGCGAACAGG
rnacentral:rRNA from 1 species